UACGUAGGGUGCAAGCGUUAAUCGGAAUUACUGGGCGUAAAGCGUGCGCAGGCGGUUAUGCAAGACAGAGGUGAAAUCCCCGGGCUCAACCUGGGAACUGCCUUUGUGACUGCAUAGCUAGAGUACGGUAGAGGGGGAUGGAAUUCCGCGUGUAGAGUGAAAUGCGUAGAUAUGCGGAGGAACACCGAUGGCGAAGGCAAUCCCCUGGACCUGUACUGACGCUCAUGCACGAAAGCGUGGGGAGCAAACAGG
rnacentral:rRNA from 1 species